UAUCCUCGAAUCCUUCUAGAUCCAGCCUCUGCCUUUUUCCUUUCCGUGUGACAACACUCGGACGAAGACGACCUCACCUGAGUCACCUCGACUGCGGGACCUCGGCCCCGCGACCUCGACCCCACGACCGCGACUGUGACCCUCGAGCCCUAUCUCCGACCUCAGACAAAGACGACCUCACCUCGACCUUAGACGAAGAUGACCUCACCUCGACCGCGUGACCUCUCAUUAGCUUCAGUUCUUCAUCGACGUGGGUUUAUUUCUUAAUCGGGGCUUUCGAUGUUUGAAUUUGCAGCUGCUAUGAAGGAGACCGCCUGGGUCUGUUGCUGAAAAUCGAUUCAAGAGAAGAUCGAGGCAGCAAGAGCCUCAGAUGGGGAUGUUCUGCCCGAGAAGAUAUGGUUGAAAGUAGCUGUUAAACUUCUGCUUAAUGAUUUGUUUUACUGGCGAUGCUGUCGUUUGCAUGAUCUCUCUCCCAUUUAUGUAGCAACAAUUUGCAAUUGGGGUCAAAGAAGUCACGCGGUUGCUCGAAAGAAUGCCGCUAUCCAGUGAAAAAGGAAGUUCACCUUAGAAGCCCGAUGUAAUGUCUAGCAAUGAUAAAGCACCUCAGCUUCAGGUCCAUUGUCUUAUAUGAAUCUUCGGUUACAAUUGCCGACUGUUUAUUAGCUCUGUGGUCGAAUUUGAGGAUAAGUGAUUCGCGCUUGUAGUGAAUGGAGUUGCCCUGUUUUUCUUCCUAGUUAUUGGAAGAGGUGGGAUUGAGAAAAAGAUUAGCUUUUUCGCUCAUGUAUAAUUCUUUAUGUCGAGAAUUGCUUUGCUUCUGGAACGAUAUAAAACAACACUCUUGAAGGCUUUAUCUGCAA